GACGAACGCUGGCGGCGUGCCUAAUACAUGCAAGUCGAACGCUUUUUCUUUCACCGGAGCUUGCUCCACCGAAAGAAAAAGAGUGGCGAACGGGUGAGUAACACGUGGGUAACCUGCCCAUCAGAAGGGGAUAACACUUGGAAACAGGUGCUAAUACCGUAUAACACUAUUUUCCGCAUGGAAGAAAGUUGAAAGGCGCUUUUGCGUCACUGAUGGAUGGACCCGCGGUGCAUUAGCUAGUUGGUGAGGUAACGGCUCACCAAGGCAACGAUGCAUAGCCGACCUGGGAGGGUGAUCGGCCACACUGGGACUGAGACACGGCCCAGACUCCUACGGGAGGCAGCAGUAGGGAAUCUUCGGCAAUGGACGAAAGUCUGACCGAGCAACGCCGCGUGAGUGAAGAAGGUUUUCGGAUCGUAAAACUCUGUUGUUAGAGAAGAACAAGGAUGAGAGUAAAAUGUUCAUCCCUUGACGGUAUCUAACCAGAAAGCCACGGCUAACUACGUGCCAGCAGCCGCGGUAAUACGUAGGUGGCAAGCGUUGUCCGGAUUUAUUGGGCGUAAAGCGAGCGCAGGCGGUUUCUUAAGUCUGAUGUGAAAGCCCCCGGCUCAACCGGGGAGGGUCAUUGGAAACUGGGAGACUUGAGUGCAGAAGAGGAGAGUGGAAUUCCAUGUGUAGCGGUGAAAUGCGUAGAUAUAUGGAGGAACACCAGUGGC
rnacentral:rRNA from 1 species